rnacentral:rRNA from 1 species
GUCCACGCCGUAAACGGUGGGCGCUAGGUGUGGGGGCCAUUCCACGGUCUCUGUGCCGUAGCUAACGCAUUAAGCGCCCCGCCUGGGGAGUACGGCCGCAAGGCUAAAACUCAAAGGAAUUGACGGGGGCCCGCACAAGCGGCGGAGCAUGUGGAUUAAUUCGAUGCAACGCGAAGAACCUUACCUGGGUUUGACAUGCACCAGACGCUGGUAGAGAUAUCAGUUCCCUUGUGGUUGGUGUGCAGGUGGUGCAUGGCUGUCGU